rnacentral:lncRNA from 1 species
CGACAUCCCCUGGAUUCCAGACUCAUACCAAAAGAAAGGUAUUUGAGUCUAGUUUCAUUUAAAAAAAAGUAGAGUCAGAAACUCCAAGUGGUUUGGGAGAUAUGGCGUUUUUACCAAGGUCUACCAUAUUCGGCAGUUUUGAGCAAUCGGAAACAUUGAUUUUUUUAAAAUAGUAAACGUUGUCAAACUGCGCUCAAAUUUGGUGGAUAUCUAGCCCAUACAGUAAGGUUGAUACCAUAAAAAUUUGGAAAUCUAAUUCACACAGGAAGUCACUGAAAUGAAUGACUUUGUCCCCUGUUCUCUGAAAUUCCCGGCAGAAAUGUGCAGAUUUGGUUUUGCAUUUUAUAAAAAUAGUAAAUCAAGUCCAAAUGACUUGAAAUUUUACAGAGGUGCUCAAGACUCAUGUAGGGACAUUCUGUAAAAUUUUCAAAGCUUUUUGACAUCGACAAACCGUCGAUCACAGUAGGUCAGUAGCCUACGAAAAAUCACCAAAACUCAUCUCAAACUCUUAAAUGCUCAAUUCAACAUUUAUACAAAGCAAACACAUCAAAACUCAUUUUAAGCACUUAAAGCACUUAAAAACAUUCAAAUACAUCAAAAUACUCAUAAUACUCAAUCUUGACUCUUUUCUUUCAUCAUCCACUCAAAUCUCAAGGAAAACGUUUCUACAACGUAUCAAUCAAAUUCUCUUUUCAAUCUCAUGCUCAAAAUUUCUCAAUCAUUCAUUAUUGACCUCAUACAUCAUGUAACUCAUUUUACACAUAUAUUUCCCUUUUUAUCAUGUAACCUAACUCUAGUGAAAAACUCAUAUAUCAUCAUAAAAUUCUCAACAAAAGCAUGACAACUUCACAAAAUGAUCAUAAAUCAAUUUGACCUCAUUUUAUCAUUCGUUAACCCCACAUCAUAUGAGAACUCAAAAACUCCUUCAAACUAAACUAAGUCCAAAUUUUAAUUAGCUUACAUUAGACUUAAUCAAACAUAUUAAAACACUACUAUCAUGCUCAAUUACACAUAUCUUAAGCUAAAUCACUUAAUAGACACAUAGACAAGAAGAUCCUAAUUUUUAUUAAACUAAACUCUAAGAAAUUUUAUAAACUCACAUGGAUCUUUAAUCUCAUCAUAUAUCUAUCAAUUUUAGUCAUUUAAACUCACAUCAAAACCAUGAAUUCACAAAUAAGGGCAUAUAUACACAUAUCCCUAAUUCUAGUAAACUAACUCACAUCAAAACUCCAAUUGACAUCAUAUACUCAAAUUACUCCGUCAAUCAUCAUCAUAUACACCUCAUAGACUCAUUUACAUCAUCAAUCCAUCACCUUGAUCAUCAACUCAAAAUUACCAAAUUGGGUAAACUACUCAUCAAAGCUUCACAUCUCAAAACACAUAUUUCAAAACACACAUCAAACAUCAACAAACAUCACAUAAAUCACAUUUCUCACCCCAACCCAAGAAAAGAAAAAGAAAAAUUUUGAAGGGGAGAACACCCAAUUUUCGAAAAUUAGGAAGAAAAGGGAGGGGUGAUUUCUUGCUCCAAUCCUUCAAAUAUACUCAUAUACAAAAUCAUACAAGUCUAAUCUAUAAAUAUAGAGAUUACUUACUCAAGUUCUUCACCAAAAACUCAAACUUUCUCUCUCUAGUCUUGAAGCCUUCCUUCAAGGAUUCUCUUGAAUUUAAGUUAAUAGGAUGUGUUUAUGGAGGAUUUAAGUAGUGAUUUAUGUGUUUGGCAUACUUGGGUGAAGCUUCGAAGGUUUCAUCAAUGGAGGAAAAAUGGUGGAAGUGAAGUGAGAGAUGAGGGAGAGGGAGAGAGAUCGAAAAUGGGGUGGAGAAGAGAGAGGAAAAUCCUUUGCAAGAUAUAGAAGGAUUUGGCUAAUCUUUGGAAAGAUUUGUGAAUCUUAGAGAAUAUUUGGCAUUAAUGCCUUGAUCUCUCUCUCUCUAAAUCUCUACACUCUCUUAAUCUCUACUCUCUAAAUCUCUACUCUCUCAAUUCUAUACUUAGCAAAAUUUAGGCAUAUAACAUAUGGUAUGGGAAAUUAAAAUAAAGUGUGAGAAAGGUNAAAAUAGUAAACGUUGUCAAACUGCGCUCAAAUUUGGUGGAUAUCUAGCCCAUACAGUAAGGUUGAUACCAUAAAAAUUUGGAAGGCUAGAUCACACAGGAAGUCACUGAAAUGAAUGACUUUGUCCCCUGUUCUCUGAAAUUCCCGGCAGAAAUGUGCAGAUUUGGUUUUGCAUUUUAUAAAAAUAGUAAAUCAAGUCCGAAUGACUUGACAUUUUACCGUUAUGCUCAAGACUCAUGUAGGGACCUGAUGUAAAAUUUUCAAAGCCAUAAGACAUCGACAACCCGUCGAUCACAAUAGGUCAGUAGCCUACGAAAAAUCACCAAAAUUUCAUCUCAAACUCUUAAAUGAUCAAUUCAACAUUCCUUCAAAGAAAACCAAUACAAAGCUCAUUUUAAACACAUAUAACACUUAAAAACAUUCAAACACAUUAUAAAACUCAUCAUACUCAAUCUCAAAUCUCCUCUUACAUCAUAAACUCAAAUCUCAAGGAAAACGUUUCUACAAACGCAUCAAUUUAAUCCUCUUCUCAAUUUCAUGCUUAAAACACUCAAUCAUUCAAAAUGACCUCAUACUUCAUAUAACUCAUUUUUCACCUAUAUUUCCCUUUUUAUCAUGUAAACUAACUCUAGUGAAAAACUCAUAUAUCAACAUAAAAUUCUCAACAAAAGCAUGACAUCUUUCACAUAAUGGUCAUAGAUCAAAAUAGACCACAUUUAAACAAUCGAUGACUUCUC